rnacentral:rRNA from 1 species
AGCGAACGCUGGCGGCAGGCCUAACACAUGCAAGUCGAACGAAGUCUUCGGACUUAGUGGCGGACGGGUGAGUAACACGUGGGAACGUGCCUUUAGGUUCGGAAUAACUCAGGGAAACUUGUGCUAAUACCGGAUGUGCCCUUCGGGGGAAAGAUUUAUCGCCUUUAGAGCGGCCCGCGUCUGAUAAGCUAGUUGGUGAGGUAAAGGCUCACCAAGGCGACGAUCAGUAGCUGGUCUGAGAGGAUGAUCAGCCACAUUGGGACUGAGACACGGCCCAAACUCCUACGGGAGGCAGCAGUGGGGAAUCUUGCGCAAUGGGCGAAAGCCUGACGCUGCCAUGCCGCGUGAAUGAUGAAGGUCUUAGGAUUGUAAAAUUCUUUCACCGGGGACGAUAAUGACGGUACCCGGAGAAGAAGCCCCGGCUAACUUCGUGCCAGCAGCCGCCGUAA